GGGAGGGAGAUGGGGUUUCACUGAGUUGUCAGGAUGGAAGGAGAGAGGAGGAGGAGGGACGCUGUAAGGACAGAAGGUGGAACAGAGUGACCUGACAGGGAGGGGGGAACAACAGAAUGGAGAGGAAAAUGAAAAGGGACAGAAGGAGAGGGACUCUGCCUGGCGGCGGAGCGGGAGGAAGUGAGGUCACGGAGCGGGAGGAAGUGAGGUCACCGAGCGGGAGGAAGUGAGGUCACCGAGCGGGAGGAAGUGAGGUCACCGAGCGGGAGGAAGUGAAGUCACGGAGCGGGAGGAAGUGAGGUCACCGAGCGGGAGGAAGUGAGGUCACCGAGCGGGAGGAAGUGAAGUCAGACACCUUCACUGGGUGGAUGCUGACAGACGCUCGGUCACUGUGGCUCAAUUAAACUUAAUCUGAACUGAGCCUGAGCCUGCAACACCAGAGCACACACCUUAUGGACCGGGAUUCACACGCACAACAAGCACACACCGUAUGGACCGGGAUUCACACGCACACACCGUAUGGACCGGGAUUCACACGCACAACACCGUAUGGACCGGGAUUCACACGCACAACACGCACACACCGUAUGGACCGGGAUUCACACGCACAACACCGUAUGGACCGGGAUUCACACGCACAACACGCACACACCGUAUGGACCGGGAUUCACACGCACAACCAGAGCACGAAACGCAUUCACCUGCAAUCAACAGGAAACAAGAAACUUCUGAAGGACAAACAAAAAAAAAAUACAAACAACUAAAAAAACGUGUCCUUUGAAAGCUCUGUGUGGAUUCUCGUGGGAGCAGACCUCCGGAGAGGUGUUUCGAGUUUGUCACGACUAAAGCCCCAAUAAGUGUGCAGUUAUUAAUCAUAUUUGAUCUUCGACUCGCCGUCAUGAAUGACAAUCCACCACCAUUAAAAACGUGCGCGUGAUGUUUUGGGUGUUUUGGCCAAUCUUACAUUUUCCACAGUAAAUAUUGUUGGGAUGAGUUAACAUUCUGUUAUCAGAAGUAAAAUGGCUUCCUGUUAAAAAAAAUAAUAAAAAAAUAAAAAACUUAAUACAUUGUGCUGUACAUAGUGACCAUCACUGACUGGACAGGACCAGAGAGAGACACAUUCCGCUUUUCGCAGAAGGACAAUUUCGGGAACUGUGAAACGGCACAUUUCGGGAGAGAAGUCACCACCCACCACCGAUCAUCACAAUCUGUACAGACACUUGUUGCAAAAUGUCCGACAUAAAUCUGAACCUGGUGUGAAGAGGGACAGCAUUGCAGAACGGUGCACAGUAUUAAAGAAGGAGUCAACUAAAA